AGCAUCUGUUUAGUAUCUGCAGUUUGAAUGCUAAGAGCACCGUGGCCUUCUUGUAAACAACACUAGGUGCUAGAGAAACCAGCUGGAAUUUCAGGAAUGAGCUUGAAACCAGGACCAGGAGUAAGGUUGGCUGUGCAGGAUUUACUUCCUAAUGUCCAUGACUGGAGCUCAAAAGAACUGUGGGCCUAGGACCUUUGAGCUUUGCCUGAAAGUGACAGCAGUUCUCUCGGCGGGGCCAGCAUCUAACCGGCCCUCUGGUGGAUUUACCAUGAAGCUAGCACUGGCUUCAUCUUGGAAAAUCUUGGAAAUAUGGAAGAUGGUUCUAGCCCCCAAAUACAGAAUAAGUCUCUUGGUAGAUUGCCCUUAAGUCAUCAGCUCAAUCCUUCCUCAACAGGCUCCAUGAGGAAACCCGCAAACACAGCAGAGUGAGCAGAGGGAAAAAGACUCCUAGGAAGCCAGCUGGCCUCCUGCUGGACCUGCACAGCCGGUUCAAGGUCAACUGACCAGGGAAUGCCAGGAUGUGGCAGUGGUCACAGUGAAGAGGAUGCAUCCCCUCCCACCGAGUUCCCACGACAGGCCCCUCACUGGACUGGACAUUCUUCAUUUCAGCAACGUCCUCAGUGACGAUGCUUAUCAUCACCCCAAAGCUCAAGAAAGUGGGUUCCCAACCACAGAUGGAGGACUGGGCUCCUCUGCUCCCUUCUAGCGCUUCCCUCCUGCCCUGAACUGGAGGGAAACAGGUCCAUGUGUGCAUUCCACCUUUGACAGCCACCACAGUACAUCUUACCAGGAUGGAUCAGCACCCCCACCUGGGGUCUCAAGCCUCAGUCGCAGGCUGGGCUGCUCACCUGCCUUCCCCUCACUGCAGUCUCCAUCCCAGCCCCUCCUCCACGGGCCCUGGCUGGGAUGUAACUGCAGGAAAUCAAAACUUCCCUGGACUACAACUUCCUGUUUGGAGGGGACAGAAAUCAAGGAAACCACCACCCCUUUGGAGCUGGACAUGGGGGAUCUCAGGUAUCAGACCACUGAGCAACCCACCGCCAGGCUGCAGGCUUUCAGAGGCCCACCUGGGCCCAGCGUGGCCUGCCCCAGGGUGGGCUCCCAGCGCAACUGCAGGCAUCCUCUAGUGGGGCCUCUGGUAACCCUAGCAGAUGGUGGUGACCCCCCUGAGAUGAGGAAGCUGGUGACCUGAGACUGAGCAGCAGCCUAUGGGCUCCGGGUCAAGUGCUAUUCCCAGCGGAUGCCCUUCCCCUGCGCCAGUCCCUCCUUCCUGAGUGUCCAGCCCCCAAUGCAAACAGCAACCCCAGGCUCUGAAACUACUUUUUUUCUUAGAAAAAGCAAAACAAAACAUAAAACUUGUUUCUGAUUAUGAAAA
rnacentral:lncRNA from 1 species